rnacentral:tRNA from 1 species
GCCCGCAUAGCUCAGUGGUAGAGCGCUUCCUUGGUAAGGAAGAGGUCAUCGGUUCAAAUCCGAUUGCGGGCU